GGAGAGUGAAGCUCGUGUGACCAGUUUUAGGCAUCUUUCCCAAGGAAAGAUGAACCAGAUCUCAAACUUGCCUUUUUCUGUACACAGACUAUAACAGAAGGGUGGCCAGCUGCUUCAGAUGUUGCCCUUGUACUGGGAAUGCCUAAAAUGAGCAGAAAGUAAUCCCCCCUCUCUUGCCUGAGUUUUCAAAGUGCUGAAUUCUUCACUGACUUCAGCUGAUGGUGCAGCUGCAUCCAGCUUUCUGAAUGUCAAAUGGAAAGUUUUUUUUUUCUUAAUGAUUCCUUACAACAGAUAUUCAAAAUGAGAAGUAACUUGGGGAAAUGCCAACUCCUGAUGCACAACAGACAGGUGGUUUAUGUGGUACAUCUGAAAGUAUUUUUAUGUUUUGUUUUCUCAACCGGACUGAUGAUUUGUCAGGAGAAAACUGUGAGGUUACUCAGUUCUUUGGUUUGGGGUUUUCUGACUUCUUUUGUCUUGUCUUGUUUUUAAUGAUGUUCAGCCAUAACUAAGCCAGAAAUACCAACUAAUUGUAAGGGUAAGCAUGCCAUAACAACAACAAUAAAAGGCCAAGAAUUAUUCUUAUCACUAUGUCAGUAUUAUUUGAGACUGGACAUUUCAAAAUGGCAAGACUAGAAAGGAAUCACAAGAAUCCAGCAUCCCAUAGACUGGGUUCUAAUUAAAAUCCCUCCCAAUCUCCAGAAAGUCAGGACUGAAAAUCACUAUUCAUUUGUACAGCUUCAAGACGACUGAUGAAAGACUUCAGACAAACCACAAGAGGCCACAGGAUCAGUUGGUGUGACCUUUUUUUAGACCAGCUCAACUACAUUUAUAUUGCUCCAGUGAAACGAUAUUCUGUGAAUUUAAAAACAUCAAAAAUGUCAUUCCAGAGAGCUUUGAAAGGUACAGAAUAAAGGGAUAGUUUCACGUAAAGAUUGUGUGACAAUUAACUGGAAAGUUUCAUCUGCAGCUUUGCAAUUCAUAACAAGCACGCCAAGACAAGGGAAAUGCAUUUUCAUGUGACAUGUCCAGAGUGCUGACUUGGUAGCAAAUAGCAGUACCACAAAGGUAUUCUGUUUUCUGGCCUGCCUGCCUAAAAUGAGUAGAAUUAUGAAAUAUCUUUAAAGAUGACGGCCAGUGUAUUUACCAACAGCCAAGAAAACCCUUCACGUAGAUGCUUACCAUAAGGAGUGCUUGCAAAAAGGCCUCAUCAAAGCCCUUGUUUUAACCCUUAGUUUAAUUAAGAUUCCCUAACCCAUUACUAGUAAAACUACUCGAAGGAGUUGGUGACUAGCUGACAUCAACCAGCAAAGCUGGUGGGGAUACAGUUGUAAUCAUUUAAGUUAGCACUGCUGAAAAAGUCAUUAUAGUUCUCAUUCCAGGUGCAUUUCCAGGCAUACAAUCCCAAUGGUUACUUAGGUCCUCUUCUAACAUUUCUUUUUUAAUGCUAUGACUGAUGAGCAGGGCAUGCACAGGUGUCUUUUGUGAAGCUGCCAAAAACACUUUGAAGAUCAUUUAAAUAAGUGUAAGACAACAAGGAAAUCAAUCCCUUUGCAUUAGGAUGUUGAGGAGGGUAUGAGGAUCAGGUGUGAUUAUAGUCCAUACCUGUAAGGAAGCACAUUGAAGAGCUUAAGGACAAAAAAGGUAUGUUAAGUUGUGCUGUAACAGUCAGAAGAAAGCAAUGAGGAUAAGGCAUAGCUACAAGACGUUCCUGCCAAACAAACUGCAGGCUUCCCACGCAACCACAUGGCCUCAGCAGUGGAUUUGUAGAACCUCCACCAACUUGACAAAUAUGACAUUGAUCUUCCUUGUCUGAAUCUUCUGCCAGAAGAUGAUUAAGACAUAACAGAAGAAAUCGAUAACUGCUCUUGGCGAAGUCUACAGUUGAAUAAUGGACAGUAUCUUUGCACUAAUAUUCUAGGAUUUGGAGAGAUUUUACUAAGGACUUCUAUCAUGUGAUGGUAACCUGAAAGUGUAACAUCCAGCAGUUCAGAGUUAACGUGUACCUUAAAGCUGAUAACUGUGCAUAGGAAAAACCUUAGUCUCUAAAUCCCCCCUUUGUUUUUGCGUAAUCCAAAUCCAAUGUGCUGCUGGGAAUUAUACAGUUGCUGUCCUUUAGGAAGAAUUAGUGUGUCUGAAUGCCACCUAUAAAGCAUGUUAGGACAUAUGCUUCUGUUGAAUGUUCCUCUCCCUCGCCUGUGUUGGCACUGCAUGCAUUUUAAAUGUUUGUCUAAAGUGACUUGCUUUCUAGAAACCUUUCUAGAUUGGCAGUGGUACGUGGAAAGUUCAUUUCUUGGUUAACUGGAAUGAAUUUAAACUAAACAGGAAAAAAGUAAUGUUACAUAACACAUUUUAAUGCUUUUAUAUUUAUGACUGAUGGAUGAAAACAUGUUAAGUAUUUACUGAUUAACAACUAAUGCUCUUUGCAUGCCAUCUGAUGAGCAGAUUGGGUUCCUGUUUAAUAAGUAGAAUUCUAAACAAGAAAAACAUUGAGACUUGGAUUGAACUCUAGAUUAGCUAAUAUUGUAAAAAUAAAUCUGAAAAUGAAAAAGCAAUUUUUGAAUCUAUCACUUCACACAUUCGAACUUGAACCACACGGAUUUAUAUCUCUGUCCUUAAUUUUGACUGCCUACAAAUACCCCUAGAUGCUACACAUAAUGUCUCAGAAAACCAGACUCCUCUAAUUAAUGUCAGCAGCAGAAUGUUUGUAUGUUUUUGUUCUGUGGCUUUCUCCUUCUUCCUUUUCCCAUCCUAUUCUAGUUGUGGUUUGGUUCGCCUAAAUGUUUUGUGUUAGGAAAGAAGGACAAGGCUUUUGUCUGAAAGCAGGAAUAAAAUGAGACCUGAUUACCCAUAGA